GUGGGGAAUAUUGGACAAUGGGCGCAAGCCUGAUCCAGCAAUGCCGCGUGCAGGAAGAAGGCCUUCGGGUUGUAAACUGCUUUUGUACGGAACGAAAAGCCUGGGGCUAAUAUCCCCGGGUCAUGACGGUACCGUAAGAAUAAGCACCGGCUAACUACGUGCCAGCAGCCGCGGUAAUACGUAGGGUGCAAGCGUUAAUCGGAAUUACUGGGCGUAAAGCGUGCGCAGGCGGUUUUGUAAGACAGUGGUGAAAUCCCCGGGCUCAACCUGGGAACUGCCAUUGUGACUGCAAGGCUAGAGUGCGGCAGAGGGGGAUGGAAUUCCGCGUGUAGCAGUGAAAUGCGUAGAUAUGCGGAGGAACACCGAUGGCGAAGGCAAUCCCCUGGGCCUGCACUGACGCUCAUGCACGAAAGCGUGGGGAGCAAACAGGAUUAGAAACCCCGGUAGUCC
rnacentral:rRNA from 1 species